AUUUGUUGCUAAAAGAGUAAAAGGUUCUCCUUUCCUUUUAUAUUUUGUCCCUUGGUAUUUCCCAAUUUACCCUCUUUGUCUGCCUUCCUCCAGCUUCUCUGAUGUUGAAUCCUAGACUUGCAUUGGAAAUCAUGGAGUUCGUGGGCGCCAAGGUCAGGAAAACUCUUUUUCAUGCCAGAUCUGCCUAUUCUCCGCCUCAUAGAUCUGUUCGAGCUAGUGUGCCUGAGUAACCGCUAUUCAGUACUAGUUCAGCCGCUUCGGGUAGCAAGUUUAUCGGCAUUUCUUAGUUCGAUGGGAUCCGUACCUGUGUUGAGGUGACCUAGGAACGGUUAUAGAAAGCUGAAUCAUAAAGAACCCCAUAAUGCGCUACUUCCAAUGACCGAACUGAAAAAGGUUUGUUCUUAACCUGAUCUUGCUGUUUUGCUGAUGGUAUGGUGCUAUUCAGAGACAGAUUCGAAGAUCUCAAUACCAAAUGCGAUACAGUUCCUUUGCUUGAUUGUUUUAAUUGCGAUUCGCGCAAUGUAGAAGGAGGAAGGCUUAGACACACGUGAUGAUAAUUGAUAUCAGUUUGUAGCUGGCAAGAGCACGAGGAAUGACAAGCUUUUGCUUCAAGCUAAUUUAACAUUUCAAAUGCUUUGGGACUUAAUAUUUAUAGCCAACCAUAGCAUUUGCUCAGUUAUUCAUUUGUUGCUAAAAAGUUCUCCUUUUCUUCUUCUUUUUUUCCCCUUCCUAUUUUAAAAUUGUUCAUCAAGAGCUAUCUCUUGUAGUGAUAUCACAAGUCAUAAGAUGCAUGAGAUGGAGAUGAAAGAGGGAAUGGACGUGUUAGAUGUGAUAUAUACUAUUGUACCUUCUUGAUGAGCUUUGGUUUUGUACCGAAUCCUUUUGUAACAUGUACAUAUUCAAGAUGAUGUUUUAUUACUCUUU